rnacentral:tRNA from 1 species
GGGCAGUUAGAUCAGUUGGAAGAUCGUUACAUUGGCAUUGUAGAGGUCGCGAGUUCGAAUCUCGCACUGUCCACCA